UACGUAGGGGGCGAGCGUUGUCCGGAGUUACUGGGCGUAAAGCGCCCGCAGGCGGUCGCGCAAGUUUGGGGUGACAGUGGGUGGCUUAACCGCCCAAGUGCCUCGAGGACUGCGUGACUUGAGGGCCGAAGAGGGACAUGGAACUCCAGGUGUAGUGGUGAAAUGCGUAGAUAUCUGGAAGAACACCAAAGGCGAAGGCAGUGUCCUGGUCGGUACCUGACGCUGAGGGGCGAAAGCCAGGGGAGCGAACGGG
rnacentral:rRNA from 1 species